AAACACAGAGGAGAGCACAGAGCCGUAAAAUGUCGUAAAGUCAGAUAUAAAACGUGACGCUUUUCUUCCUGUGUCCUUCUCAGCUUCAACCCGCCUGCGAGUGUUUGUGAAGAAGGCUGGCCUAAAACUAGGAAAUUCGUAGGCAUCUCUGUGUUGUUUGACGGGAGUAGUAAGCACCAUAUGCAGUAUGGUUUCGGAUGACAUUAAUGGUCUUCCUGUGAACGGACUGGGUGAUCAGGCUCCAGAACACAAUGUGGGUGAAUAAUCCUGUGAAUUAAUGCAUAAAAUGCAUCAUUUGUAGCUGAAGAAGCUUGUCCUAAUGGUGUGAUCUGAAGGAUGUCCACUAGAAGGCGCAACACCCCUUUUUGGUGAUUGGUGGUAUGUUAGAGGUCCCAUAUGACUAGAUUGAAGAAUGAAUGUUGACAGCUGAUCGUGCUUCUAGUUCUGCAAGCUGAGAAAUUUGCCGUUGGGAGUGAAGGGUUUCCCAGCCAGACUUUUCUUGGAAGUUGGUGCUGUUGAAGAGGUCAUACUACAGAGGAAAUUGUAAAGCUUAUCCUUUGGAGUGUCUUGUGGUGAUUGUAGUUUUCAAUAAAGUACAAAAGAUA